rnacentral:rRNA from 1 species
CCUACGGGAGGCAGCAGUGAGGAAUAUUGGUCAAUGGACGCAAGUCUGAACCAGCCAUGCCGCGUGCAGGAAGACGGCUCUAUGAGUUGUAAACUGCUUUUGUACGAGGGUAAACGCAGAUACGCGUAUCUGUCUGAAAGUAUCGUACGAAUAAGGAUCGGCUAACUCCGUGCCAGCAGCCGCGGUAAUACGGAGGAUUCAAGCGUUAUCCGGAUUUAUUGGGUUUAAAGGGUGCGUAGGCGGUCGGAUAAGUUAGAGGUGAAAUCCCGGGGCUCAACUUCGGAAUUGCCUCUGAUACUGUUCGACUAGAGAGUAGUUGCGGUAGGCGGAAUGUAUGGUGUAGCGGUGAAAUGCUUAGAGAUCAUACAGAACACCGAUUGCGAAGGCAGCUUACCAAGCUACUUCUGACGUUGAGGCACGAAAGCGUGGGGAGCAAACAGGAUUAGAUACCCCAGUAGUC